AGAACGAACGCUGGCGGCAUGCCUAACACAUGCAAGUCGAACGUGAUCCGGGGCUUGCUCCGGUGAAAGUGGCGGACGGGUGAGUAACGCGUGGGAACCUGCCCAGUGGUCGGGGAUAACUGCGGGAAACUGCAGCUAAUACCCGGUAAGCCCUAUGGGGGAAAGAUUUAUCGCCAUUGGAGGGGCCCGCGUCGGAUUAGGUAGUUGGUGGGGUAAAGGCCUACCAAGCCUUCGAUCCGUAGCUGGUCUGAGAGGAUGAUCAGCCACACUGGGACUGAGAUACGGCCCAGACUCCUACGGGAGGCAGCAGUGGGGAAUAUUGGACAAUGGGCGCAAGCCUGAUCCAGCAAUGCCGCGUGAGUGAAGAGGCCUUAGGGUUGUAAAGCUCUUUCGGCGGGGACGAUGAUGACGGUACCGCAGAAGACGCCCGGCUAACGUCCGCGCCAGCAGCCGC
rnacentral:rRNA from 1 species